rnacentral:lncRNA from 1 species
UGCUGGCUAACAUUGUGUCUAGGGCAGAUCCUUUGGUUUCCAAUUCUCCAUGCAGUAUUUCUGUCUCUGGCAUUUUUCCAGCUGUAAUGUCCAGUAGAGUGUGUGCACACUUGGGGCUCGGAAGCUUCUGCUGCCUUCCUUUCUGAGAGGAGAGGGUGCCCACAGGCACACCAGUGGGACUUUGCCUGCGGAGCGUGUGAUCAAGUCAUGGGCCAGGUCCUCUGACUUCUGCUGACCUGUAGACCCUGAUCUCUGGCCUUGGAGGACACCUGCCCAGGGAUUCUCACUGCCCUGGGUGUUGUCCUGCACUUCCAAGCUCUAGGUCCUCCGGAGAAGAGGGCAUUGUCCCUGUAGGGCAAGAGUCAGGAGCCUCAGGUCUUCCUCUUCAGGGGCCAAAGCAGAGCCUGGGGAGUCAUGGUGAAUGCAAAGAGGAGUUUCCCUGAGGUUACCAGAGGGCUGGGGGCCUAGCGACCAGGAAAGGGUGGUGCAGGCGGCGGUACAGGGCAGGGGGUGCCCUGAGAGCCCAGGGUGCUUGGGUUAAUCAUCACUGUGGCUCAGAUAAGGCCCUGCCAACUGGGAGCAGAGUCACUGUGACCAGAGGGGUUUGUGUGGCUGAAGAGGCAGGCAGAACAGUGUAUCCACAGCACGGGACCAUGCCAGCCACAGAACAGUUUCAACAUGUCAUUGAGACCCCGGAGCCUGGCCAGUGGGAGUUGUCUGGGUAUGAGGAAGCUGUGCCAAUCACAGAGAAGACAAAUCCACUGACCCGGGACCUAGACAAAGCAGAUGCUGAGAACAUUGUUCAACUGCUGGGGCAAUGUGAUGCUGAGAUCUUCCAGGAGGAGGGCCAAGCCCUGCCCACAUACCAGAGACGCUACAGUGAAUCUAUUCUGACCACCAUGGUACAAGUGGCCGGGAAAGUUCAGGAAGUGCUGAAGGAGCCAGAUGGGGGGCUGGCUGUAUUGAGUGGAGGGGGCACCUGUGGCCGGAUGGCAUUCCUCAUGUCGGUGAGCACCCUGGUCCCCGGUUUUCUUCCCUCUCCACUUCUUGAGGUGACCCUCAGGACCAUAAAGAUCACCAUAACUGAGCUCCCAGGUGCCCCCUCACUAGACCUGGACUCCAAGCCUGGCUCUCUCUCUCUUCCAGAAGCUAGGCGUCACCACGAAGUCCCAUUUCUUCUGAG